CUCAAGGUGCUUCAGGAUGUCUUGAAACUGAUACUUUUAAUCCAUGUGCCAUCGAUAGAAUUGUCAUCAUCCUAUACUUCACAACAUGCCCUGGAAUCAGUUUGAACCUGUAGAAUCUGCAUAGGAUUGCAAGUGCCAUCUUCAUCUGUAAGUAUGCUGAAUCCUUCCCAAGGCAUAUUCUUGGCCCAGCCUGCAUUCACAAGUAAUCAGAUGAUUAAGAGACCAAAGAGUUAUUCAAACCUGUAGUGUUUAUGCUUAUGAUUGUUCAGGAUAAGCCGUGAUGAAUGUUAUGCUUUUGUUUGAUUUUGUACAUAUACAUGGUUAUCGAUGUAGAGGUAAAUCUGGUUCUUUUGGUAUACCUGAAAGGCGGUGAAUUUGAAAGGAGAUGCACUUUGGAAGCAUCCUUCCUUGAGCCAUCUCUCCGGCUUAAAUGAAGCUGCAUCAGGACCCCAAUUGUACUCCAUUCUCCCCAUGGAGUAUGGAACAUAUGUUACCAUUCCUCCUGCUUUUACCCUGGUUCCAUCUGGUAAAAUGUCAUCUUCCAGGAUGCCCUUGGGAUCCUGCAAAAUUUUGGUCAGUAAAAUAGAUCCGCCUUUGCUGAUUUUACAGUAAGGAAAAUGGAGAAUGUGCCAACCUGAGGAACAGCUGGAUAUAAUCGAAGUGUUUCUGUAAUUACAGCAUGCAAGUAAAAUAGUCUGCCUAAGGACUCAUAAUUGAGGAGUCCUGCAAAUUGCAUUACUCUCUUAUUGAAUGAUUCAAAAUCAUCUCUCUGAUACGGCUGCAAUAUGAUAUUUUCUUCUUUUGCCCUGGAUUCCUCUAGAGUUUUUAGUUCUUCGUAAAUCUUCUCUGCUACAUCUUCAUGAGUCAUUAUCAUGUAUAUAGCCCAAGAAAGUGUUGUGGCUGUGGUGUCGCGACCAGCGAUCACAAAAUUCAGUACAACAUCUCUUAGGCUUUUGUCAGUCAUAUGGUUGUCGGGAUCUUUGCUGAGCUCGAUAAAUCUUGACAAGAUGUCAUGCUUAAUCUGAUAAAUGAUUGUCAAAGGCAUCAGUGAGGUUACAUGCUCGAAGAAAGCAGCGACUCUGCACUCUGCACAAGUUUAUUAGUAAGCUGUUACAUUUUUACCUUGGCAUCCUUAUUUGCCCCCUGAGCUUCUUCCAGCUCAGCCUUUCUUCUCCUUAUAACAGAAGGAUCGAUGAAUCGUAGAGUCACAAUUAUGUUUGCAGUGUCAAAUGCUUGUGCAAAGCGAUUAUCUGGCAAUUCAGGGGCCAAUGUUCCUAUUUCUGCACCAAAUCCCACUUUGCAAAUGGAGUCCAAAGUCAUCCUCAUCAACAAUUCCUGAAAAUUAGUCAGUCCCUGUAGCUGUCAGUUAAAAUUGAUGGAACAUUGAUGGAUCAUGGUUAAACAGCAAAGGAGAUUUGUAGGCAUUUGCAACUCAACCCAACUCCCUUAUCAGUGGCUUGUCUUUCGCAAUUGAAAAAGAAUAACUCAAUUGUUUUAAGACAAGUUUAAUGUCUAUACGCAAUUAAAUGUCACCAUCCGUAUAAAUGUCAGUUGUCCGAUUGUCUUGAAAAGAAUGAUAGUCACCUGCAUAUC